GUGGGGAAUCUUCCGCAAUGGACGAAAGUCUGACGGAGCAACGCCGCGUGAGUGAUGAAGGUCUUCGGAUUGUAAAGCUCUGUUAAUCGGGACGAAAGAGCCUAGUGUGAAUAAUGCUAGGAAGUGACGGUACCGGAAUAGAAAGCCACGGCUAACUACGUGCCAGCAGCCGCGGUAAUACGUAGGUGGCAAGCGUUGUCCGGAAUUAUUGGGCGUAAAGCGCGCGCAGGCGGAUCUGCCAGUCUGUCUUAAAAGUUCGGGGCUUAACCCCGUGAUGGGAUGGAAACUACAGAUCUAGAGUAUCGGAGAGGAAAGUGGAAUUCCUAGUGUAGCGGUGAAAUGCGUAGAUAUUAGGAAGAACACCAGUGGCGAAGGCGACUUUCUGGACGAUGUCUGACGCUGAGGCGCGAAAGCUAGGGGAGCGAACGGGAUUAGAUACCCCUGUAGUCC
rnacentral:rRNA from 1 species